rnacentral:rRNA from 1 species
CCAGUGCGCAUACGCUCUUUUUAAAGAUUAAGCCAUGCACGUGAAAGUUCAUACAUGUAAAAUGUGAGACUGCGGACGGCUCAGUAAAUCAGUUAUAAUCUGCUCGAUUGUAAAGGUUAGUGGAUAACCGUGGGAAAUCUAGAGCUAAUACAUGCAAUAUAGGGUGCGAGUAAUCGUGCUCGGUGGCAUUUAUUAGAAAGUGACCAGCCGUGGAUGAGAAUCUACGUGGUGAAUCUAGAUAACUGUGCAGAUCGUACGGCCUUGAGCUGACGACAUUUCGAUUGAAUUACUGCCCUAUCAACUUUUGUCGGUAGUGUAGUGGACUACCGAGGUUUUUACGGGUGACGGGGGAUCAGGGUUCGAUUCCGGAGAGGGAGCCUGAGAAACGGCUACCACAUCCAAGGAAGGCAGCAGGCGCGCAAAUUACCCAAUCCAGACAAUGGGAGGUGGUGACGAAAAGUACCGGAUGACGAUCUAUGAUUGUCAAUCUGGAAUGGAAUCAAUUUAAGAAAUUGAUUGAGAAACGACUGGAGGGCAAGUCUGGUGCCAGCAGCCGCGGUAAUUCCAGCUCCAGUAGCGUAUCUCAAAGUUGCUGCGCUUAAAACGCUCGUAGUUGGAUCACAAACUGUUGGGGGGUAGGAAAUGAGAUCUGUGUCAAAGAUGGAAAAUGUAGCGUGUGUCAUCAUGCGUUAUGUGAUUCAUAUGGCAUAGUCUCAGAUCUAUAUUGCCAACCAAUAGUAAUUACGCGUGAGGAUAGACAUUAGCCUUGAGUGAGCAGAUGUCUGUGUCUCGCGGAGUGUGCCUUGAGUAAAUCAGAGUGCUUAAAGCAGGCUUGACGCUUGAAUGUUAUAGCAUGGAACGAACAAUCGUGUAUAGUGUACGCUGACUAUGGUUUGUCAGUUCGCUGACAUUCAGCAGUGUACGACACCGACCACCAGUUACGGAUGUUGGUUCCGUAUUGGGGUAACGAUUAAGAGGAGCGGUUGGGGGCAUUGGUAUUUGGCAGCGAGAGGUGAAAUUCUUGGACCUGCCAAGGACUAACAAAUGCGAAGGCAUCUGCCCAGACCGUAUCCAUUAAUCAAGAACGAUAGUGAAAGGUUCGAAGACGAUCAGAUACCGUCCUAGUUUUCACUGUAAACUAUGCCGACUCGGGGUCAGUUUGGAGCUAAUAUCCACGCUCGAGGUUGGUCCCCCUGGGAAACCUAAAGUUUUUCGGUUGCGGGGGGAGUAUGGUCGCAAGGCUGAAACUUAAAGGAAUUGACGGAAGGGCACCACCAGGGGUGGAGCCUGCGGCUUAAUUUGACUCAACACGGGAAAACUUACCUGGUCCGAACAUCUGAAGGAUGCACAGACUGAUAGAUCUUUGUUGAUGAGGUGAAAAGUGGUGCAUGGCCGUUCUUAGUUCGUGGAGUGAUCUGUCAGGCCUAUCCCGGUAACGAACGAGACUACGGUCUCCACUUGACGCACCGGAGAAGGCUGUGGUUGCAAUUUAUCAGCAAUGGUAAAGUGCAAAUCGUGGUUGUAGGCAACAUUGGUGAGCCAUGUAAAGUCCGGUUUCGGCCGGGGUGAAUGUGGUGAGCCAGUGUACCCUCCGGUAAGCAAUGCUUUAGCUUAUUAAGUUAAAUGUAUUGUAUCGUGGAGAGACAGCGGAAUAUAUUCAAAAUCCGAGGAAGUGUAGCUAUAACAGGUCCGUGAUGCCCUUAGAUGUUCAGGGCUGCACGCGCGCUACAAUGAUAGCAACAACGAGUUCCUAGAUCGAAAGAUCCGGGCAAUCUUGCAAUUGCUAUCGUGAUGGGGAUCGAUGUUUGUAAAUACGUCGUGAAAGAGGAAUCCCUAGUACGUGCGAUUCAUGCAGAUCGCGCGGAUUGCGUCCCUGCCCUUUGUACACACCGCCCGUCGCUACUACCGAGUGAAUCGUGUCAUGAUGCCUUGGGAGCGGACGUCGCCUGGGCCUUGAGCUCGGAGUGAUGCUGCAAUCAGCGUAAAAUGGUGCAAUUUCGAGGAAGUAAAAGUCAUAACAAGGUUUCCGUAGAU